CAGGAUGAACGCUAGCGACAGGCUUAACACAUGCAAGGUCGAGGGGCAGCAUAGAAGUAGCAAUACUUGGUGGCGACCGGCGCACGGGUGAGUAACGCGUAUGCAACCUACCUAUCAGAGGGGAAUAACCCGGCGAAAGUCGGGCUAAUACCGCAUAAAACAGGGGCACCGCAUGGUGAUAUUUGUUAAAGAAAUUCGCUGAUAGAUGGGCAUGCGUUCCAUUAGGUAGUUGGUGAGGUAACGGCUCACCAAGCCGACGAUGGAUAGGGGAACUGAGAGGUUGGUCCCCCACACUGGUACUGAGACACGGACCAGACUCCUACGGGAGGCAGCAGUGAGGAAUAUUGGUCAAUGGGCGGGAGCCUGAACCAGCCAAGUCCGCGUGAAGGAAGAAGGAUCUAUGGUUCGUAAACUUCUUUUGCAGGGGAAUAAAGUGCAGGACGUGUCCUGUUUUGUAUGUACCCUGAGAAUAAGGAUCGGCUAACUCCGUGCCAGCCGCCGC
rnacentral:rRNA from 1 species